CCCAGCACCUGAUCACAUCUUCUGUCACUCAAGGCCUGAGGGGGCGGGACCUUAAGCAUUAUCCAAUCAGGAACUCUGAGCUGGAAACCGUCCAAUCAGACACCCAGCUGGAGAGAACAGGACAACUUCUGGGUUUGGCGCGGACUUUGUCUCUUGCUGCAGCAGGAGCUCCAGGUCUCGUCUUCAGUCCUCUGUGUCCUCUGCUCCUAGAGGCCCAGCCUCUGUGGCUCUGUGUCCUGCCGGUAUUGGGAGAUCCACAGCUAAGAUGCUGGGACCUUCUGGAAGCCUAGAAAUGAUGGAGUUUCGCUCGUUGCCCAGACUGGACAAGUGCAAUGGUGCAAUCUCAGCUCACUGCAACCUCUGCCUCCCAGGUUCAAGCGAUUUUCCUGCCUCAGCCUCCCAAGUAGCUGGGAUUACAGGAACCUGCCACCAUGCUUGGCUAAUUUUUUUCUAUUUUUAGUAGAGACCAGGCGGCCUACCUCAGCAUCUUAACGUGUUGGGAUUACAGGCCUGAGCCACCACACCCAGCCUCGUGUAUUUUGGAGAUAGGGUCUCACUCUGUCAACCAGGUUGAUUUGCUGGGUUCACUGCUGCCCGAACCUCCCAAACUCAGAUGAUCCUCUCAUUUCAGCCUCUCAAGUAGCUGGAUUACAAGUAUGUGCCAUCACACCCAGCUACCUUUUUUGUAUUCUUUGCUGAGACAGAGUUUUGCCAUACUGCCCAUUCUGCUCUUGAACUCCUGGGAUCAAGUGAUCAGCCUACCUUGGCCUUACAAAGUCCUACGAUUACAUUUCAUUUUAUUAAAUAGUUUAAUUAAUUUAUAUUUAAAAUGAUUGCUUAAAGAAAUGAAGUUGUUAUUGCCAGUUAUAUUGUUAUUGUUUUAUGUGUUUUUAGUAGUAUAUUUCCCUCAUUUCCUUUUUUACUUUCUUAAAUUUAAUUUAAUUAAUUAAUUAAUUAAUUAUUAUUAUACUUUAAGUUUUAGGGUACAUGUGCACAAUGUGCAGGUUAGUUACAUAUCUAUACAUGUGACAUGCUGGUGCGCAGCACCCACUAACUCGUCAUCUAGCAUUAGGUAUAUCUUCCAAUGCUAUCCCUCCCCCCUCCCCCCACCCCACAACAGUCCCCAGAGUGUGAUGUUCCCCUUCCUGUGUCCAUGUGUUCUCAUUGUUCAAUUCCCACCUAUGAGUGAGAAUAUGUGGUGUUUGGUUUUUUUGUUCUUGCAAUAGUUUACUGAGAAUGAUGAUUUCCAAUCUCAUCCAUGUCCCUACAAAGGACAUGAACUCAUCAUUUUUUAUAGCUGCAUAAUAUUUCAUGGUGUAUAUGUGCCACAUUUUCUUAAUCCAGUCUAUCAUUGUUGGACAUUUGGCUUGGUUCCAAGUCUUUGCUAUUGUGAAUAAUGCCACAAUAAACAUACGUGUGCAUGUGUCUUUAUAGCAG
rnacentral:lncRNA from 10 species